UAUAAUUGUGUAUUAGGAUCAAAGAAAAUCAUGUUUGUACUUAUCACGAAUAUUGUACGUUUACAAUGCAUCCGUAAAGGAAACUGUGUAUAUGUAACGAUAUCGAAUUAAUGUAUUGAAUAAUUAAUUUUAACUGUAUUAUGAGUGUGAUAAUUACCAAAAAUUUCGGUUAUCAAUUAAAUUAAAUUCAAAAAUUGAAAUUAAUCCUUAUAUUCCACUGCGACUGCGCGUUGCGAGACGCUUCCUGUAUCCUAACUAACCCUAACCUAACCUAACCCUAACUCAGCUGCUAGCCUCCUUCUCCUUGCUGCUGAUGAUUUCUAAUUGUUUAUAAUCUGUCAAAGUGCGUAAAUGAUAUAUAUUGAUAAAUAUUGAUUACGACGUUUAAUUAUAAAUCAAUUUACUCUUUAGCAAUAUAUCCCAUGUAAUUUAUUCGUAAGCAGAUUCAGCAAAGGCUUCAUAAUGUUUGAACUGCCAAUGGAAUUGACAGCUAAGCCUUUAGCUUUGAUAGGUUUGACUGGAUUAGAUAUUACAAAUCCAGUACACCGUUCUAUUUGGGAUGCAUUUAGCAAUAAUCGUAGACCAGAUUGUGCAGCUGUUCAGUUUAAACUACUUAGUUUAUCACAUGAAUUUCCUACUGUUAAACCAAAGCGUAGUUCAUAUGAAUGGUAUAUACCUAAAGGGAUCUUAAAAAGGAAUUGGAUGAACAAAUAUCUCAAUGAUAUUCCUUCUGUAGUUGUUGUAUUCUAUGACUUGGAUUGGAAUGAUCCUUUGUGGAAUGAAAAAAAAAUGGAGUGUGCUUCUAGAGUACAAUCUUUAAGAGCUGCCCUUGAUGGAAGAAGUACAAAGAUAGCUGUAGUAUUGAUACAACAUGCUCUUCAACCGCUUCCUGGUGCUGAAGAUGUGGUUGCGACUGAACGUGCAACAGCAUUGUGUGGAGCUUGUGAUUUAACUGCAAAGUUUUUGUAUAUUCUCCCACAUGCUGAUCAUUUAUUGGGAUAUAUAUCUAGAUUAGAGACAGCGUUCUAUGAUUUGGCACAAAAUUUUUAUUAUCACGAAUAUCGGAAUGUGAAAAGUCAUCGUGAUCAACUCACUAAAAAUGUUCAUCAGUAUUUGUUUGUUCGUCAUCAAUUUAAAAUGGCAUUCUUGAACGAACUCAAGCAGGAACUGCAUCUUGCUCAAAAGCAUUAUAUGCAAGCUUAUCAUAAUUUAUUAGAAACGAGAAUGACGGAUGCAAAUGCGGUAGAAAUAAAAACCAUCGCUGGUUUUAUAAAUUAUAAGUUAUGCAGGAUAAUGUUUAGCUUAAAUCUUCCAAAAGAUGCCAUUUCUCAAUUUAGACUUCAUACGGAAAGAUUUAAGCUAAAAACUGGUCCAAAAGAGCUUAUGUUUGAACAUCAUGCUUGGAUGAGUAGCCAAUUCUCUACAUUUGCAGAAUUAUUUGAUGAAGCCAUUCGUCAAGGAUUACCUGCUGUUCAAACGCAACAUCCAGGAUAUUAUUUUCAAUUAGCUGCCAAUCAUGCAAGUCUACGACAAUCUGCAUGUAAAGAACUCUGUCAAGAUAUAAAUAGCUAUCCAGAUCCAGAUCCAUUAUUAGGCGAAGAGAAACUUGAAUUUUAUGGACAGCGGCCGUGGCGGCCGGGAAAACUAAGUGCGGAACCUGCAGAUACAGCUAGAGAAGUUAUCGGUAUACAGGCUUUGCAAUAUAGAGAGAAAACUACAGUUAAUCAUUCUAUGAUAAUUAUUGGCUUAUUAGGAAAUGCAAUAUCGCAAUUUAAGGUAUACCGUUGUCCAAGAAUGCGCCGAUUAUUGGUCGUGCAAAUGGCAGAGGAAUAUUUCAAUGCUCGGGAUUAUGGCAAAGUUCUUACAUUAUUGAUGCACAUGUUGUGGGAAUAUCACGGAGAACGAUGGCCGGUCUUACUCACAGAUAUAUUGAAGAAUGCGUUACGAGCGGCAUAUCUAUCGACUAAUAUUCAAGAUUAUCUCACUCUGGUUCUCGAAGCUCUAGGGCCCUCAACUACAUUUUCAAAAGAACAGCAAGCUAUUAUUUAUAAUAAUAUUAUGAAUAUACUACAGAAAAAACCACCGAAUCCAGAACCAGACUUGCCAGAUGACAUUAAGCAUCUUGCAAUGGAAAAAUGGGUGUCGGAAUUAAAUCGUUCAGAGCCAAAUGUUUUUACAAUUGACGACAAUAACAUGACAUCAUUUGUCGAUGUUAAAGCACGAUUCUUGCAGCAAACGUAUGCAGUUAAUACAAUGAUUACGGUCGAAGUUAUAAUAAGAAAUUCUUAUGGUGGUAUUAUUCAAUUUUCUAAUGUGACAAUAACAAUUAGUGGUCCCGGUUAUAAUACUGAAAUCCCAAUUAGUGAUAUUCAACAAUCUGAUCUUAUUUUUCAAGCAAAAGAAACGAAAAAAUUUUAUUUCAAUUUUAAAGCGCCUCAUCAAAAUGAUGGUGCAGAAAUUCGUAUUAACACAGUCUCAUUGCAAAUGGGUGAUAGCGCACGUUGUUGUAUUAUACUAAGAUUCUCAGCUAUGGGUAGAGAAACGAAUCUACUAGAUCGUCUGUAUCCCGAAAUACAACAACUCCGCGGAGGUGAAUUUGAGGCGAUAAGACCAUUAAUUCAUGCGGAAAUUAAACAGGAAGAAUCGAGUUUAAAUCUGAACGCAGAAUCGAAUAAUCCUGCACUUUUAGGCGAGUGGCUACCCAUUACGAUAUCUCUAUCAGCUAACGAGAAUGUUAACGCAAUAUAUUUACAUGUAAUACUCGUAUCAGAAAGUAAUAAUGAGCAAUCAACUGAACUAAGCAUAAAUAUGCUUAAUAAGCAGUCAAAAGUAACAAUUUUCAUUGGUGAUAUGACAAAAGAUUCAUCAAUCAAACAUGUUGUACAUAUUAGAGCACAUAAAGUAGGCGAUAGAAAUAUCAUAAUAAAGGCCGAUUACUGUAAAUCCGAACAAAUUAAGGGGAGUAAAGAAUUAAUGUAUUCAUUGGCAGUUAAGAAGCCAUUUGAAGUUGCAACACAAUUUUACACUACAUUAUUUGAACCGCUAACAAAGGGAUUUGUUAAUGAACCCUUUAUUAUUAUGCCUCAUAUUACGUGCGUUUCCCCAUGGCCGAUAAAUAUUCUAAGCACAUCUAUAGAACUGGCGGACUCUAUUCAGACAGAGAGUAAUCUCGAUAAUCAAAAAUCCAUCUUAGCGGAUGUCAAACUCUGUGAUGGUGAAACUGGAACCGACACCUAUUGCUUAAUUCCAAAGACAGGUGGCGAACAGCCUAUUAGUAUUGGAGUAUAUACUAUCAAGUGGAAAAGAGCGGACGACGAAACUGCGCUGGAAACUAGUAGUAGCGUAACUCUAGCUCCUUUAUGGGUUGAAGAUGCAGUGAUCGGAUUAGAAGCCAAAAUGCCAGCUCAUGGAUGGGUUCGCACACCGUUUUGUAUUUCAUAUUUUAUAAAAAAUCAUUCCGAUUACCUCAUCACUUUGCGUUUGGCUAUGGAAGGCAGCGAUGCUUUCAUGUUUGCUGGACAAAAGCAGAAAUAUUCGAAAAGUGGAUUGGGUCUUACGACCACUAGUUGCUGGUUUCGUUGCUCUUCCAACAUUAUCGCUGACUGUACCUGCAGACGAAGAAUACAAACUGGGUAAAGGACGACUAUCGGAAGUGGUUGAACGUUCGUUGCCGAGUCAUAUAUAUAUACUGCCGAAAUCGCAGUCUUUAGAAGGAUGAGUGAAUUCGAAUCUUUUAUGGAAUCUUCUUUUUUUUUUUAGAAAUAUAUCUUUUCAACCAAACUGCAUUAUAAAAUUAAGCAUAUAUUUGGAUAAUUAAAUAAACUGACGUGUAUAUUAUAUUUAUUAGAGCCAUGAAUAUAUAUCUGUUGAAUAUAACUUAUUUAAGCUAUUUUAUUUAACUUUAAAUAAUCUAAGAUUAGACACAAUAUUGUAGAUUUUUAACAAGUAUUAUUAAAUGUCAGUGAUUUUGUUGCUAUACGCGCCAUAAUUCAUACACUACAGUAGAUAUCGAUCGGCUUUACGGGCAUUACGUUGCCCUAGUAACCAUACAAUCUAUAGUACAUUCUGUAUAUAAUGCACGAAAUAGAUCUUUUCUGUUCUUUA
rnacentral:misc_RNA from 1 species